ACUCCUACGGGAGGCAGCAGUGGGAAUCUUAGACAAUGGGAACCGUAGCAUCUAGCCAUGCCGCGUGAGCGAUGAAGGCCUUAGGGUUGUAAAGCUCUUUCGCUGGGAAGAUAAUGACGGUACCCAGUAAAGAAGUCCCGGCUAACUCCGUGCCAGCAGCCGCGGUAAUACGGAGGGACUAGCGUUGUUCGGAAUUACUGGGCGUAAAGCGCGCGUAGCGGAUCAGAAAGUUGGGUGGAAUACC
rnacentral:rRNA from 1 species